rnacentral:rRNA from 1 species
GUAGGGUGCAAGCGUUGUCCGGAAUUACUGGGUGUAAAGGGAGCGCAGGCGGACUGUCAAGUUGGGAGUGAAAACUACGGGCUCAACCCGUAACUUGCUUUCAAAACUGGCGGUCUUGAGUGGUGUAGAGGUAGGCGGAAUUCCCGGUGUAGCGGUGGAAUGCGUAGAUAUCGGGAGGAACACCAGUGGCGAAGGCGGCCUACUGGGCACUAACUGACGCUGAGGCUCGAAAGCAUGGGUAGCAAA